AACGAACGCUGGCGGCAUGCCUAACACAUGCAAGUCGAACGAGACCUUCGGGUCUUGUGGCUCACGGGUGCGUAACGCGUGGGAACCUGCCCUUAGGUUCGGAAUAACUCGCCGGAAGUAGUGCUAAGACCGGAUAAUUUCUUCGGACCAAAGAUUUAUCGACGUUGGAUGGGCCCGCGUUGGAUUAGCUAGUUGGGAUGGUAAAAGCCUACCAAGGCGACGAGCCAUAGCUGGGCUGAGAGGAUGAUCAGCCACACUGGGAGUGAGACACGGCGCAGACUCCUACGGGAGGCAGCAGUGGGGAAUAUUGCACAGUGGGCGAAAGGCUGAUCCAGCAAGGCCGCGUGAGUGAUGAAGGCCUUAGGGUUGUAAAGCGCUUUUACCCGGGAUGAUAAUGACAGUACCGGGAGAAUAAGCUCCGGCUAACUCCGUG
rnacentral:rRNA from 1 species